rnacentral:rRNA from 1 species
CCCUUAGAUGUUCUGGGCCGCACGCGCGCUACACUGACGAAUGCAACGAGCUUAUAACCUUGGCCGAAAGGUCUGGGUAAUCUCCAAAUUUCGUCGUGAUGGGGAUAGAUUAUUGCAAUUAUUAAUCUUCAACGAGGAAUGCCUAGUAAGCGCAAGUCAUCAGCUUGCGUUGAUUACGUCCCUGCCCUUUGUACACACCGCCCGUCGCUCCUACCGAUUGAAUGGUCCGGUGAAGCGCUCGGACCGCGGCCUCUUGACGGUUCGCCGUCUGUUGGCUGCGGGAAGUUCGUUAAACCUUAUCAUUUAGAGGAAGGAGAAGUCGUANCA